CACACACACACACACACACACACACACACUUUGCAUUAGCAGCUCAUGCUUCAGUGCUCUGAGAGACUUUAUAGCUCUGUGACUUUAACACUUCAUGACUGAAAGCUGCUGCUCAGCGACUUCACCCACAGCAACCAUGAGUUUGAUCAUCAUCUUCAUCUGCACACUGGCCCUCUGCACUCGAGGAUCCCAAACUCAGGCCAUUGUGACUCAGAGUCCUGCAGUGAAAUCAGUUUCUCCAGGAGAUUCGCUCACCAUCAGCUGUAAAACUAAUAUUGCUGUUGAUAACGACUGUGAUAAAAGCUAUGAUUGUUUGUCUUGGUAUCAUCAAAAAUCUGGAGAACCUCCCAAACUCCUGAUCCGUUUAGCUAACACAAGAGCAUCAGGAGUUUCAGAUCGUUUCAGUGGCAGUGGAUCUGGAACUGAUUUCACUCUGACCAUCAGUGGAGUCCAGAAUGAAGACGUUGGAGAUUAUUACUGUCUAACGGAUCAUUAUAACACAUUCAAAUCCUCAUCGUUCACACAGUGUUGGAGCAUCGUACAAAAACCUCAGUGAGCGUGGCAGCUGCAGCUGCUAAUAGAGAUGAAAUCGCACAAUGGCUCAACACACACACACACACACACACACACACACACACACACACACACACACACACUCAUUAUUCAAACCCACUUUCUGAGCUGUGAGGCUCCUUGACAUAUCAGGACUGCAUUAUCUGCAUUUAAUUGAACUUGGAAACCAAAAACCUGUUCCAGCAUGGUGAUGCCCCUGUGCACAAAGUGAGCUCCUU